rnacentral:rRNA from 1 species
UACGGAGGAGGCAAGCGUUAUCCGGAAUUAUUGGGCGUAAAGCGUCCGCAGGUGGUUAAUCAAGUCUGCUGUCAAAGCGCGAGGCUCAACUUCGUAAAGGCAGUGGAAACUGAUUGACUUGAGUUUGGUAGGGGUAGAGGGAAUUCCCAGUGUAGCGGUGAAAUGCGUAGAUAUUGGGAAGAACACCGGUGGCGAAAGCGCUCUACUGGGCCUGAACUGACACUGAGGGACGAAAGCUAGGGGAGCGAAUGGG